AUUUGUUGAUAAAGAAGGGUCCAUGGGUACAUUUGGACAGUAGUAUCCAUCGACUUCAUAAUCACCUAAAUACGUACAUGGUGCUAUUCCAAGUUCUGAAAAAUGUCAAGACUUCUUCGUGGGAUAAUGGAUAUUUUAAUGAAAGUAUAAAUGGAGUAGAAAUCGUGGAAAACUGUCACUGUGUCUCAAUUAUCAAAAAAUAAAUUUUAAUCUUAUAAUAACUAUAUGUAUAUAAUUUAAUAUUAUAUAAUUCACAAAUACAUAUCAUAUUUGUAUCAGUGGCGCAACCAGGAUUUAUUCAAGGGGGGGGUCCAGGAAAAUUUUUUAUUUAUUAUACAUAUAUUGUUUUUCUGUUCUCUUCCUGAGUAUAUACUAUAUACAUUAUAAAUACAUUUCAUUGCUUGAUAAAUACAAUUAUAUUAUUUAAUACACAAUACAUAUUAAUUACAUUUUUAAAUUUAUAUUUACAACGAAAGUAUUUCAAUUAGUUAUUAUUAUUAUGCCAAUUUAAUUAUGGUAGUCAUUAUUUAUUAUUAUUAUCUAUAGUGUAAAAUCUAAGCGCCGGUUUUCUUCAGAUAAUAUAUUUAUAACUUCUUCCACUGUUACUGGGACUUCUCGGUGAAUAUUAAGAUUAGCCAAACCAUUCAACCUAUUUUCAGAAGUAGUGUUCCUUAAAUAAUUUAAAAUUAAAUUAAAUAAUACAAAUUUUGUAUGUGUUAUGUAAUGUGCAUGUGUGAGAUUGGACCGGUCGACGACAAAUAAUACGGGUCGUAAGAUGUGUAUAAUAAAAAACUAAUAAUAUAUAUUAAUAUUAAUAAGAAUAAAAUGUAUAAAGCGUUGGUACUAAAUAGUAAGUACUUACCUAUAUAAGUUAAUAAUUUAUUUUAUUAUUAUGUAAUAUAAUAUAUGCAUUUUCAAGUAUAUAA